UAGGGAAUCUUCGGCAAUGGGGGGAACCCUGACCGAGCAACGCCGCGUGAGUGAAGUAGGUUUUCGGAUCGUAAAGCUCUGUUGUUAAGGAAGAACGAGUGUGAGAAUGGAAAGUUCAUGCUGUGACGGUACUUAACCAGAAAGGGACGGCUAACUACGUGCCAGCAGCCGCGGUAAUACGUAGGUCCCGAGCGUUGUCCGGAUUUAUUGGGCGUAAAGCGAGCGCAGGCGGUUAGAAAAGUCUGAAGUGAAAGGCAGUGGCUCAACCAUUGUAGGCUUUGGAAACUGUUUAACUUGAGUGCAGAAGGGGAGAAUGGAAUUCCAUGUGUAGCGGUGAAAUGCGUAGAUAUAUGGAGGAACACCGGUGGCGAAAGCGGCUCUCUGGUCUGUAACUGACGCUGAGGCUCGAAAACGUGGGGAGCGAACAGG
rnacentral:rRNA from 1 species